UACGGAGGGGGCUAGCGUUGUUCGGAAUUACUGGGCGUAAAGCGCGCGUAGGCGGACCUGCAAGUCGGGGGUGAAAGCCCGAGGCUCAACCUCGGAACUGCCUUCGAUACUGCAGGUCUCGAGUCCGGGAGAGGUGAGUGGAAUUCCUAGUGUAGAGGUGAAAUUCGUAGAUAUUAGGAAGAACACCAGUGGCGAAGGCGGCUCACUGGUCCGGUACUGACGCUGAGGUGCGAAAGCGUGGGGAGCAAACAGG
rnacentral:rRNA from 1 species